AUGCCUAGAUGUACUGGCCAUACUGCUAAGUUGGUCAGGGUAAUGACUGAGGCUGGAUACCGCUGGUAUCCUGAGUACACGGUCGAAGAGCAAUUUCGGGACUUCAAUCAAAGCCAGUAUCUCUGCACUGUCCGGAUAUUUCCAUCUUAUCCUGGAUCCACCGAGCCUCUUCACUGUUCCUAUGGACUCGGGGUUACUAUUGAGAUGGCUGUGCAGGACGCCGCCUACUCUAUGAUGACCAUUAUGCGAGUCAGAUCUGGUUUAUUUCGGGACUCUGAUUUCCGGUAUAUGCCAGGAUCACUUCCGGGAGCACAAGGAUAUCUCCAGGCUAUCUAUGCUGACUCCACUCAGGAGGAUUCACGGACUCGCACCACUGCUGAGAUGCUCGAGGAUAAGGACCGUGAAAAUCGGGCCUUAAGGUUAGAGCUCUUCAAUACCCGUGCUGACCACUGGGCUACUUUGACUCGGUUUGCACCGGCGGUGCAAGCUGGAUAUUCAGAUAUGCGCGAUCUCUAUCCUGUGAGAUCUGCUCUGCCAGACGUGAUGGUUUGGCGUGAUGUAGGAGGCAUCACCCCACCUCGCGGUCCCCGCAGGCCACCGUUUGUUGGUCCAAGGCCUCAUCCUAGCCCCUAUGGUCCACAAGCUCCGCGAGACCGUCUGUUUCCGGAUGAUCAUGUUGAACUUCCAGGCUAUGGAGGUGACUUCUACGAGGACUACUACGGAUCGGUCUGA
rnacentral:rRNA from 1 species